AUUGAACGCUGGCGGCAUGCCUUACACAUGCAAGUCGAACGGCAGCACGGGUGCUUGCACCUGGUGGCGAGUGGCGAACGGGUGAGUAAUACAUCGGAACGUACCUUAUCGCGGGGGAUAACGCAGCGAAAGCUGUGCUAAUACCGCAUACGCCCUGAGGGGGAAAGCGGGGGAUCGCAAGACCUCGCGCGAUUAGAGCGGCCGAUGCCUGAUUAGCUUGUUGGUGGGGUAAAAGCCCACCAAGGCGACGAUCAGUAGCUGGUCUGAGAGGACGAUCAGCCACACUGGGACUGAGACACGGCCCAGACUCCUACGGGAGGCAGCAGUGGGGAAUUUUGGACAAUGGGGGCAACCCUGAUCCAGCAGUGCCGCGUGAGUGAAGAAGGCCUUCGGGUUGUAAAGCUCUUUUGUCAGGGAAGAAACACCGGCUCUAACACAGUCCGGGAAUGACGGUACCUGAAGAAUAAGCACCGGCUAACUACGUGCCAGCCGCCGCCGUAA
rnacentral:rRNA from 1 species